AUGAGAUGCCAACGGACAUGUCUCCGGCGCCCGCAACCUGUUCAACAGAAUGCCGCCAGGGCGAAGCCGAAGCGCAAGAGCAGGCGCACGAAAGCAUACACGGCGGCCGAGGACAAGCUCCUUUGUGAGUGUUGGAGGGACAUUGGGCAAGACCCCAAGGUCGGCGCCAAACAAAAGGCAUCAACCUUUUGGACUCGUGUGCAUUGCGAGUUCCAUGAACACAAGAAGUUUCCGCCGUACCAAAUGCAAAGCGCGCGCGGGUGGGUGUCCCCCAUUUUGUGUGCUGGCAUGUGUGCCGGCCGCUAG
rnacentral:rRNA from 1 species